CAAGACGAUCCAGUAAGCGUAUUUUUUGCUCACAACUCAGGUCAUUAACCUUGAAAAUUUGAGGGAUGACCUCAUUUAAUCUCCAGUAGCAUUUUGACCUGUAAUGGGAGGAAUCAUGCGUCUGGAUCGUCUUAC
rnacentral:ncRNA from 1 species